UGGAGUCUUCUUUUGUGUCAACGACUAGACAUCUCCGUGGAGCCAUCUUAUAGGUCUAUACAUUCUUUGAUUGGAGCUUGCCCCGACAGUGCUUGCUCACCCUCUUCCCACUAUCUACACCUCCCAGUACCCAUCUGAGCUCAAGCUUCUGGUGUCUCAAAGAUAUUUUUAUAGAUCUACACCCGCCCUAUCAUUCUCCUUCCCAUCAAGCAUCUUCGACGAGGCAAUAAAGAAAUGGACACAAUUAACACGCUCGGCAGGGGUAGACUGACGUUGGAUCAGGAAAAGAAAAGUUAGGGAUUUGCACAAACCAUAAGCGAAUUGAAAAGAAUUAGGGAUUUGA
rnacentral:lncRNA from 1 species